ACCCGCUGAACUUAAGCAUAUCAAUAAGCCGGAGGAAAAGAAACUAACAAGGAUUCCCUUAGUAACGGCGAGUGAACCGGGAAGAGCUCAAAUUUGUAAUCUGGCGUCCUUCGGGCGUCCGAGUUGUAAUCUAUAGAGGUGUUUUCCGCGCCGGACCACGUUUAAGUCUCCUGGAACGGAGUAUCAAAGAGGGUGACAAUCCCGUACUUGACGUGACGACCGGUGCUAUGUGAUACACUCUCAACGAGUCGAGUUGUUUGGGAAUGCAGCUCUAAAUGGGUGGUAAAUUCCAUCUAAGGCUAAAUAUUGGCGAGAGACCGAUAGCGAACAAGUACCGUGAGGGAAAGAUGAAAAGCACUUUGGAAAGAGAGUUAAACAGCACGUGAAAUUGUUAAAAGGGAAACGAUUGAAGUCAGUCGUGCACUUGGUAUUCAGCCGUCUCUGACGGUGUAUUUGCCUUGUGCGGGUCAACAUCAGUUCUGAUCGGCGGAAAAGGGCUGGAAGAAGGUGGCACCCUCGGGUGUGUUAUAGCUUCCUGUCGUAUACGUCGGUUGGGACUGAGGAAUGCAGCUUGCCGCAAGGCCGGGGUUCGCCCACGUUCAAGCUUAGGAUGUUGACAUAAUGGCUUU
rnacentral:rRNA from 1 species